UAAAUUAUAGCUAUAAAGUAUUUUAUUUAAAUUAAAAAUAUAAUUUUAAAUUUAAUUUAAUAU
rnacentral:tRNA from 1 species